rnacentral:rRNA from 1 species
CACCGGAAAAAGAGGAGUGGCGAACGGGUGAGUAACACGUGGGUAACCUGUCCAUCAAAAGGGGAUAACACUUGGAAACAGGUGCUAAUACCGUAUAACAAUCAAAACCGCAUGGUUUUGAUUUGAAAGGCGCUUUCGGAUGUCGCUGAUAUAAGGAACUCG